UACAGCAUCUAAUUUAGAUUUUCGUUUAAUAAUAAUUGAAAUUAUAAAUAGAAAAUAACACAAAACAGAAACCAAAAAUAGACUCACUGAGAAAGAAGAGAGUAGUAUUGAAUAUUGUUCAGGCCAGCGAUAGAGGCUUUAUCAGACAGGCAGAUAAGAUAAGAUAAGAUAGCCAGCGUCAGGCUGCUUCGUUUCUUUCCUUCAAUUCUACAGUAGUUGUGAAUCGAGUUGUGAACCCUGCAGGUAGCACGGUCCCAUAUAGCCUCACCUUGAUCAAACAAAUGGUCUCAUUGACUUGCUGAACCCACCAUUAACAAAUUCUGCAAAAGAGGACCUGCUGCAUCUAGUUGAACUCUACACUAAUAUGAGCGAUCAGCUUACACAAACUGAGACAUCUGAGAUAUUCACUUUGGACUCGCUAAAACAAAUAGCAAACGAAAAUAGUGAAGAUACUUGUAUGGAAGUUAAUGAGCUGGAAGCUGAUGCAUUUGGAUGGGUGACUAAAGAUCAUGGUAUAACCGGUUGGAGUAAAUGCGCUCUGGGAUGCUUACCAAGUACUUACAUAUGUGAUGAUCGUUCACAAUAGGCGAAGCACAGGCCGACUACAGCCAUCAUUCACCAUGUUUUUCGGUCGAGUAAAAGGGUUGAAUCUCCCUGAUCUAAAGAUUUGCAUAUGAAAAUAUAAAAUUUAAGGUAUUGUUACUUGGAGAAACACGUUUUCCUGAACAUUUUUUAUGUUAACCUAAUUCAAUCUAUCAUCAUUCAUUGAAUUUCCAAACAUUUAAUUAUUUACUAAUUGAUACUAUUAGUUUUAUUUUUUAAAAUUUAUUGAAUUGGAUGAAUAAAGCAUUAUUAACAAUAGUUAAAAAGAAGACAAAUGACAAUUUAGAUAUUGGCUUGCUUCCUAACAAUGUCAGUGAACCUCCAAGUUGAUACUACUUCAUUGUCAAAAUAAAUAAUACUCAGGACAGUUGAAUCUAAAAUAUUAAAAUUGGCUACAAUUUUCAACUGUGUAAAUGAACAAUAACUUUAUGCUAGUCAAAUAAAAAAAUGUAUGCAUUCUGUCAUCCUUUAUGAAAAAAAGCUGUCUUGAAUAAGUUAUGCCAACGUCUAGGACAUAAGGACAAAGGAAAAUUACUGUGAAAAGUGUGAUCACCUUGACCUGCAGUGACCAGGGGCGGGUUCAAAUUGCUCACUUGCAUCACUUGUGGAAUUUAGCUGGGUUACAGGUGUUAUGGAAUCUCUUCAGUAAUGGUCAGAUCUACUAAUGUCCAGUUGAACUCAUCAGGUGAUAAAGAGCAGCCAACUACCUCGUUCGUCUCCUCCUCUGGCACGAGAGUCAAGCAGAUUCUGUUGUCUUCAAACUGGGUUUGAGCCAGAGUUGUGGACAGUUUGUCAGUCAGAAGAAAGUUGUCAUUGGCCAUUUCAACAGCACUGGAAUUGUCACAGGUAUGCCAUAGCUAGUUAGGAGAAAAUUGUUUUUGGAAGCAAAGUAGCCGAUGACAAUUCCAGUGCUGCUGAAAUGGACGAUGACAACUUCCUUGUGACUGACAAACUGUUCACAACUCUGGCUCAAACCCAGUUUGAAGAUAACAGAAUCUGCUUGAGUUGUGAACUGUUUGUCAGUCAGAAGAAAGUUGUCAUCGGCCAUUUCAGCAGCACUGGAAUUGUCAUCGGCUACUUUGCUUCCAAAAACAAUUUUCUCCAAACUAGCUAUGGCAUAGCUCUGGCUUAAAUCCAGUGUUCAGAUUCAGCUACUCAUUCCCAGGUUCUGUCAGUGAAUCUUGGAUUGUGUCCACCUUUUUUGGUUUGUGGUUGUCUUUUCGUCUGCAUACACACUUUGUCAUCCUUUUUUUGUAGUCACCUGAUCGGUCGAUAAUACGUCGUCGAUCUAUUCGACAUUGUCGAUAGUGCCUGUAUCUCGUCGCUCUGGCGGCAUGUUUUCGUACUCGUUCCAUUGGUUUUUAUAUUAUCGUCUGCUGGUAUUUUCAUUCUUUUUCAUUGUAUCUCAUUUAUUCUUUGUGAGGUCUAGUUUGUAUUUUCAACUAUUCAUUUGUUGUUUGUUGGAUAUUUUUUCACCAUGUGCUCAGACAGCACAAAUCGCAUCCGGUGACAUCAUGUCGAUUCCCUCUCCAACGUUCAGGGACAUGACGAUUUCCGCCCGCUCUUCUUCGCCAUCACUAACAUGGGUUAAAUCAUCUACAAGUUCUCUCCAAUUCAAAUUCCUCAAAUUCAUUCAAUUUCGUUCAAACUAUGUGCAAACGGUUCAAUACAACAUCCCGUCAACGCAGAUGCGUCAAUCUUUAAAAUUGGUCGGUUAUUUGAGGAAUUAUCAAAUUAUUCAGUUUUUGGUGUUAGCGUCACAUGUACGCCAGUCAACAUUUUCAUCUCUACAUAGUGGUAAAGUACUAUUUCAUCAUCAAUGGCACUCUAGGAACAUUAUUUUAUCAAGAGUUUUUCAUUACUCCAGUUUGCAAGCACUUUUCAACUUUAAUUCAAUGACUUUCUUUGUUUACUGGACUUAGUUUCACAUGCUGAUUUGCCAAUCUCAUCUUGGGAGUUACUCGCCAGCAGAAAUCUUUAUCAAUAAUUUAUUUGUGAACAAUACAAACAUUUCAAGCCCUUAUGCGUCUUAUGCAACAGGAUCGUAUUUUGGACUCAGUAUUUUUCCAGGUCAUACUUGAUGCUCUGCAGUUGAAGUCAUUUUAUUUAUCUGUUAGGCAAUCAGUCAUUCAGCUUAUUCAAUCACAGUGCUUUGCGUUUUCAAUUAUCAAUCAAGUUUUUAGUGAACUUUUGCAUCGUUUCAUUCCAGUGAACAUUUCAUUACUUGGUGUACUUGAGCCAACAUAACCUUUCAUGCCUUGUUGUUCAGACACAAGAGCCAUUUAGUCCUGCGUAAACUUUUGCCAUCAGCAAUUCAUUAUCUACUGCGCAAUUUAGUGACGCAAUUUAGCAGUGGGCGACUGCCAAGCUUGUUUUUUAGAAGCUUCCCAGAGACUCUCAUCAGAGUAUAUGAAUUGUCAAAAUUCAUAACAUACAGUACCUCUAUACACACAAACUCUUCCUUUGUAUAGAAUACUCCAACCUAUCAAAAAAGCUUUUCAACUCCUCAAAAACAUUGACAUCUUCACAAGUUUUCAAAUGAGUAGGAAGAUUUCUAAUAAAUUCAAGACCCAUAUAUGUUGGGUGUUUUCACAAAAAGAGUUGUUCUGUGAAACAUUUAAGCAUAGUCUCCUCUAUUUCUUUGAUUGUAUCCAUGAGUGGCAGACAAGGCCUUUUAGAGAACCCAAGGGCCGAGGAUUGUUGAUGCCUGCUCCCUCGCCUUUCAUGACACCUUACCAAUCUACCAUCUGCCUCAUUCUCACACUCAACUUGAUUCAGCCAUUGUCAGUGAUAAAGAUUAUGUCGCAUAAUUAUGACCAGAUACCUGCACCUUGCUUCUUCCAUUAUAACCUUAUUUAUCAGAUUUACAACUUGGAAAAACCUCAUUACAAUUCAUCUUUUACUUUUCUUGUCUUACUUUUAGGCUAUAAUUCUCCAUUUAUUUGUAGCUCAAUUUGUGUAUUAUGAUUUCUUUUGUAUAUUUAGAAUAAUAUAUUUUAUUUAUUAUCAAUUUGUAAUUUUGCGUUGAUUUUUUAAAUAAAUGAAGUGGACUGCACUA
rnacentral:misc_RNA from 1 species